UAAAAGAGGAAAUUAAAAGGAAAGGAAAACAUGAAGAUCCAAGUUAGUAAUUAUGAUGAAAUAACCAAGGACGAGAAAUAAAUGCGGUUAAGGAAGCAAUAAAGUCACAAAAGCAAGUAAUGGUAAAGGCCUUAAAGAAAAUCCAUAGCGGAGUCGCCAUGCUGUCGACGCCCUCUUUUUCUAAUGAGAAAUCAGGUUUACGAUAUUAUGGGUGGAAUGACUCGCUUAUCCACCUCUGGGGAAUUUUGGGUUAUGGAUUUGAAGAGUCGUCACCUAAUGAUUAUAGUGCAUUAUGACACUUUCAGAGAAAAAAAUAAAGAUUUGAAAGAAAACCAGAGUUCGGGUAGGGGCUUGAGAUUAUCUCGAGGGGA
rnacentral:lncRNA from 1 species